AUAUUGAUGAAUGUACUCUGGGAACGCAUGGCUGUGACAGAAGCAAAGUUCGAGCCAAAUGUACAAAUACGGUAGGAAGUUACACUUGUUCCUGCAAUAAAGGCUGGGAAGGAAAUGGAACGCCAAACUGUGCUGAUAUAAAUGAAUGCUAUCGUGGCACCCACAAUUGUGCUAAAGAAUUAGCCAUCUGUGUAAACACCCCAGGAUCCUUCCGAUGUACUUGUCCCAAAGGUUAUACAUUGGCAGCAGACAAGAAAAGCUGUGUUGAUGUCAACGAGUGUCUCUUGGGUACAGACAAAUGCCAUGCGAAUGCCAAGUGCACAAAUACUGUGGGUUCAUACAUCUGUGCAUGCAAAACCGGAUUCGAGGGUUCUGGACAAAUGUGUAGA